AACUUUUAACAACGGAUCUCUUGGCUCUGGCAUCGAUGAAGAACGCAGCGAAAUGCGAUAAGUAGUGUGAAUUGCAGAAUUCAGUGAAUCAUCGAAUCUUUGAACGCACAUUGCGCCCCUUGGUAUUCCAUGGGGCAUGCCUGUUCGAGCGUCAUCUACACCCUCAAGCUCUGCUUGGUGUUGGGCGUCUGUCCCGCCUCUGCGCGUGGACUCGCCCCAAAUUCAUUGGCAGCGGUCUUUGCCUCCUCUCGCGCAGCACAUUGCGCUUCUCGAGGUGCGCGGCCCGCGUCCACGAAGCAACAUUACCGUCUUUGACCUCGGAUCAGGUAGGGAUACCCGCUGAACUUAAGCAUAUCAAUAAGCGGAGGCU
rnacentral:misc_RNA from 1 species